GCCUUCGUGGUGUAAUGGUCAGCAGGUUCGACGCGUAACCGAGAGGUCCGUGGUUCGAUUCCCGGCAAAGGCG
rfam:Stegodyphus mimosarum contig39601, whole genome shotgun sequence.